rnacentral:rRNA from 1 species
CGCGGGAAUUCGAUUAGAGUUUGAUUAUGGCUCAGGAUGAACGCUAGCGGGAGGCUUAACACAUGCAAGUCGAGGGGCAGCAUAAGGUAGCAAUACUUUGAUGGCGACCGGCGUACGGGUGAGUAACGCGUAUGCAACCUACCCUGUACUGGGGGAUAGCCCGGAGAAAUUCGGAUUAAUACCCCAUAAAGAUAUCAGAAGGCAUCUUCAGAUAUUUAAAGUUUCGACGGUACGGGAUGGGCAUGCGUAACAUUAGCUAGUUGGUAGGGUAACGGCCUACCAAGGCGACGAUGUUUAGGGGUCCUGAGAGGGUGAUCCCCCACACUGGUACUGAGACACGGACCAGACUCCUACGGGAGGCAGCAGUGAGGAAUAUUGGUCAAUGGGCGCAAGCCUGAACCAGCCAUCCCGCGUGCAGGAAGAAGGCGCUAUGCGUCGUAAACUGCUUUUCCAGGGGAAGAAAACCCGUUACGAGUAACGGCUUGCCGGUACCCUGGGAAUAAGCAUCGGCUAACUCCGUGCCAGCAGCCGCGGUAAUACGGAGGAUGCGAGCGUUAUCCGGAUUUAUUNGGUUUAAAGGGUGCGUAGGCGGAUUAAUAAGUCAGUGGUGAAAACC